rnacentral:rRNA from 1 species
UCGCCAGACUCCUACGGGAGGCAGCAGUGAGGAAUAUUGGUCAAUGGGCGCGAGCCUGAACCAGCCAAGUCGCGUGAGGGAUGAAGGAUCUAUGGUUCGUAAACCUCUUUUAUAAGGGAAUAAAGUGCGGGACGCGUCCCGCUUCGCAUGUACCUUAUGAAUAAGGAUCGGCUAACUCCGUGCCAGCAGCCGCGGUAAUACGGAGGAUCCGAGCGUUAUCCGGAUUUAUUGGGUUUAAAGGGAGCGUAGGUGGAUUGUUAAGUCAGUUGUGAAAGUUUGCGGCUCAACCGUAAAAUUGCAGUUGAAACUGGCAGUCUUGAGUACAGUAGAGGUGGGCGGAAUUCGUGGUGUAGCGGUGAAAUGCUUAGAUAUCACGAAGAACUCCGAUUGCGAAGGCAGUUCACUGGACUGCAACUGACACUGAGGCUCGAAAGUGUGGGUAUCAAACAGGAUUAGAUACCCCAGUA